AAAAACCAGCUCAGUAGGGAGCUGCCUAGGAAGGAGAGCAGAUCUCCAGCUCUCACUCUGUGGAAGAGGCUCGCCUGGGGCUAGGAACUGCUUGAGAGACACUUCUUGCUGGACCCUCCCUGAGACGAAAGAGGCCUGAUGUGGGAUUGUUGUUGGGUCUUGCUAUGAAAGCCUGCUUCCUGAUACAGCCUCUCUGAAGGAAGAACACAGGAUCUGACCCAGGGAAGGAGGCUAGAGAGAGAAGUGGUGCUGUUCACUCUGUCCGGACUCGGGAUUUAGGCCUUCACUUCCUUCAGGAUAGAGCUUCUGGAGUGGCAGCGAUGAGAGGUGCCCCCUCCACACAGACAGAACACCUGACCCUGAUGAGGAGGAGAAGGAAGAGGACUAUAUGGAGGACAUGUACUGCAAGAUCCUGCAAGUCAGUGCUGCAUUGGACCAGGAACAAAGGGCUUGGAGGGCCAAUAUGAUCGACAGCAUGGAGAAGGAAAGAGAAGACAGGAGAGAGACCCAGGCAUCCCCCCUCACUCUUCUGCAGACUAAAUAAGCCCAGUUCCCUCAGUCUCUCCUCAUAAGUCAUGUGCCUUGGCCCCCUAAUCAUUUUCAUUGCCCUCUGCUGGACUCUCUCCAAUUUGUAUACAUCCUUUCUGUUUUGGGGGGCCCCAAACUGGAUGCAGUACCCCAGAUGUGGCCUCACUAGUGCCAAAUAGAGGGGAAUAAUCACUUCCCUCGAUCUGCUGGCAACGCUCCUACUAAUGCAACCCAGUAUGCCGUUAGCCUUCUUGGCAACAAAUGCACAAUGUUGACUCAUAUCCAGCUUCUCGUCCACUGUAAUCCCUAGGUCCUUUUCCGCAGAAUUGUCACUUAGCCAGUCGGUCCCCAGCCUGUAGCAGUGCAUGGGAUUCUUCUAUCCUAAGUGCAGGACUCUGCACUUGUCCUUGUUGAACCUCAUCAGAUUUCUUUUGGUCCAAUCCUCUAAUUUGUCUACGUCACUCUGGAUCCUAUCCCAACCCUCCAGCAUAUCUGUCUUCCCCCCAGCUUAGUAUCAUCCACAAACUUGCUGAGGGUGCAAUCUAUCUCAUCAUCCAGAUAAUUAAUUAAGAUGUUGAAUAACACCAGCCCCAGGACUGACCCCUGGGGCAUUCUGCUUGAUACCGUCUGCCAACUGGACAUCAAGACAUUGAUCACUAUCCGUUGAGCCCAACGAUUUAGCCAGCUUUCUAUCCACCUUAUACUCCAUUCAUCCAAUCCAUACUUCUUUAAUUUGCUGGCAAGAAUACUGUGGGGAACCAUAUCAAAAGCUUUACUAAAGUCAAGGUAUAUCAUGUCCACUGCUUUUCCCCAUGUUCACAGAGCCAGUUAUCACAUCAUAGAAGGCAAGUCAGGCAUGACUUGCCCUCGGUGAAUCCAUGUUGACUGUUCCUGUCUCUAAAGUGCUUCAAAACGGAUUCCUUGAGGACCUUGAUUUUUCCAGGGACUGAGUUGAGUCUGUAGUUCCCCGGAUUCUCCUUCUUUCCUUUUUUUUUAAAGGUGGGCACAAUAUUUGCCUGUUUCUUUCCAUCAGAACAAAACCAAUUUGAAAUAUUGAAAUCCUCAGGGAAUUGGAGUUACCUUUCUCUGCCCAGCUCUACUGCAAGGCUUGUGAAAGCAUAAAAUAUUCACAGCCAAGUGACAACUAUUUCCUACAUGGAGGAAAGCCAUGAAAAACAGUUGGGAGCAGCCUCAACAACACAGUUGUACGCAGAGCGGGGAUCCCUGAAUGAUGGAAUCCUAGGAUCUUCCAAGGCAGCAUGGAGUACUGGAGCAACAGAGCAUCCGGUGAAGUAACAGUCAAUGGGUAGUCAGAAGAAUUUGUGUAAAGCAUUUUCUCCACAUGCUGGUUUUAAAUAUGUAUGUAAACAAUGCUGUGGCCCCCUAGCUUCCAUGAAAUUUAUGGCAGCUGUUUUCACUGAAAGGCUUCUUUUCAUUUGAGAGAAAAACAAUUCUUGCCAAUAGACUGGCCUUAUGGCAUCCGGUGACACAAACUGAUGCAUUGUCCGGUGUUCAGAGCAGCAAAGGGAUAAUUCUGAAGGCAGCACUGAAAAAAAAUUAAAUAGAACUUCACUCUCCACAGACAUUUUGAUUAAUUGACCAUCUGCUUCUCCACUGUAGCUGUGAUGUUUCUUGUGCAGUUCUGCCCUUAACAUAAGUCAUUGAAGAAAUCAUGUAGUGUUUAGCUACAAGAGAUGUUUCUAUUAAACCAUCAAAAAUAAAUAUUACAUAUAUAUUUUUAUCAGAUUAAGUGUGUAAAUUCUGUCUGUGCAUCUUAAAGCUGAACCCCUCACA